CUCACGUGAAGGAAGUUGGUUUGUUAAUUUCAAGUAAAACUGAGCCAUCAUGCAUUAUUGCCAAGUGUGUUUUAUUGUGCUUCAGCUUCUCGUCUCAGUCUUCGGCUGGUCUAUGGACCGCUACGACAAUCGGGUUUUGCGAAGCCCUGUUACCGUUCUCCGACACAGAAGAACCCAAAUGGAAGUUAGAACAAACCAAUGUAUGUUUAAUAUUUGCGAAGAAGUUCCUUUAUACCCCGAAGACAAAAUACGUGCGAUGAUUGAAGAAAAUCAGUCUCUACAUUCUUACUUCGGAAGCAGCGUUAUAGAACCUUCAAGCUUUGACUCGGGUAUUUCGAUCGUAUCAAGGAACAAUGCGGUAAUGGAACCUUUUUGUAAAACUAGGGAUGUAUCGUCUACGCCGAAAUUAAUGAUGGACGUUGAUCAUGUUGAACGAUCGAUUGCUAACACAAACAAGUACAAACAAGUCAUAAAAUAUCAAAUCUGCGAUUUUGAAGAGGGAGAGAGCUGUUUUCCGGGAUCUAUCCUCAAUUUGAAGACCAGAUGUUUGCAAAAGUUCAACGUCAUUAAGCUCAUGACCGCAAAUUUGGACUCUAACACUUUGGAGUAUCGAAAGUUUGAAAUACCCAGUACUUGUGUUUGCACCUACACUAAGGAAGCCUAACAAUUUUUGCCAUUUUUUUAUUUUUGUAAAAUAAUAUCUUACUGAAUGUAUUUGUACCCCAAAUAAUAAAAUAAUCAAAUAGUA